UUUAUCACGUUGAUUCCUUUUGUCGUGAUCAUAAUUAAUAAGGUUGAAUGAAAAUGUUCAAUAAUCCACCCUAUCAACACCGACUCUUCUUGCGCCAAACGGCCAUUUUUGUUUGUCAAUUGUCAUACAUACGACAUAAGAGUUGUACAAAAAAUGAAUGCAAGCGUAUAGGAGAUAGAGGCUUGAUCAUAAUAUUUGCAAUCUGAGUUGGAAUUGAAGGGAUUUGUUAAAAACUUUCUCACAAACAAUGAAAUUAAAGGUCUAGCAACCUCUAUGUGUUUUGUGUGAGCAUGAAGCUUAGCACAUGGUUGUGAGAAAGGGCAACAAUGUUGUGGUUCUCAUAAAGCAGAAGUGACCUUUAACUACCGAUUGUUUACAUAUAGUAAGGCGUCAACUAGCAAGUGAUACAACGUAAGAUCAGAAACAUAAUUCACAUAUAUACCAAGUUUGCAACCACUUAUCAUCAAAGACGAGAUACUAUUUAGCAUUGAU